GAUGAACGCUAGCGACAGGCUUAACACAUGCAAGUCGAGGGGCAGCAUAUAAAUUAGUUUACUAUUUAAUGAUGGCGACCGGCGCACGGGUGAGUAACGCGUAUGCAACCUACCUUAUACACAGGCAUAGCCCAUGGAAACGUGGAUUAACUCCUGAUAGUAUUAUUAAAAGGCAUCUUUUAAUAAUUAAAUAUUUAUAGGUAUAAGCUGGGCAUGCGUCCUAUUAGAUAGUUGGAGAGGUAACGGCUCCCCAAGUCAAUGAUAGGUAGGGGUUCUGAGAGGAAGGUCCCCCACACUGGUACUGAGACACGGACCAGACUCCUACGGGAGGCAGCAGUGAGGAAUAUUGGUCAAUGGACGUAAGUCUGAACCAGCCAAGUCGCGUGAGGGAUGACUGCCCUAUGGGUUGUAAACCUCUUUAGUUCGGGAAGAACUGUAUCUACGUGUAGAUAUUUGCCUGUACCGAAAGAAUAAGCAUCGGCUAACUCCGUGCCAGCAGCCGCGGUAAUACGGGGGAUGCGAGCGUUAUCCGGAUUUAUUGGGUUUAAAGGGUGCGUAGGCGGUAAAAUAAGUUAGUGGUAAAAUCUCUAUGCUCAACAUAGUUCAGCCAUUAAAACUGUUUUACUCGAGUACAGUCGAGGUAGGCGGAAUAAGUUAAGUAGCGGUGAAAUGCUUAGAUAUAACUUAGAACUCCAAUUGCGAAGGCAGCUUACCAGCCUGUAACUGACGCUGAUGCACGAUAGCGUGGGUAGCAAACAGGAUUAGAUACCCUGGUAGUCCACGCCGUAAACUAUGCUCACUGAUUCUAUGCGAUAUGACCGUAUGGGAUCCAGCGAAAGUAUUAAGUGAGCCACCUGGGGAGUACGUCGGCAACGAUGAAACUCAAAGGAAUUGACGGGGGCCCGCACAAGCGGAGGAACAUGUGGUUUAAUUCGAUGAUACGCGAGGAACCUUACCCGGGUUUAAAUGUUGAAUGAUCGGGGCCGAAAGGUCUUUUCUCUUCGGAGCAUUUUUCAAGGUGCUGCAUGGUUGUCGUCAGCUCGUGCCGUGAGGUGUCGGGUUAAGUCCCCUAACGAGCGCAACCCCUAUCUUUAGUUGCCAUCAGGUCGUGCUGGGCACUCUAACGAGACUGCCACCGUAAGGUGAGAGGAAGGCGGGGAUGACGUCAAAUCAGCACGGCCCUUACACCCGGGGCUACACACGUGUUACAAUGGACGGAACAGAGGGUUGCUACUUAGUGAUAAGAUGCUAAUCUCAAAAUCCGUUCUUAGUUCGGAUUGGAGUCUGUAACUCGACUCCAUGAAGUUGGAUUCGCUAGUAAUCGCGCAUCAGCCAUGGCGCGGUGAAUACGUUCCCGGGCCUUGUACACACCGCCCGUCAAGCCAUGGAAUCUGGGGGUGCCUGAAGUUCGUGACCGCAAGGAGCGACCUAGGGCAAAACCGGUAACUGGGGCU
rnacentral:rRNA from 1 species